rnacentral:tRNA from 1 species
GCGCCCGUAGCUCAAUUGGAUAGAGCAUUUGACUACGGAUCAAAAGGUUAGGGGUUCGACUCCUCUCGGGCGCGCCA